rnacentral:rRNA from 1 species
GUGGGAUUGCACAGACAACCAGGAUGUUGGCUUAGAAGCAGCCACUCAUUCAAAGAGUGCGUAAUAGCUCACUGGUCGAGUGAGCCUGCGCCGAAGAUUUCCGGGGCUAAAACUUACUACCGAAGCUACGGCAUCAGUAAUGAUGGGUAGGGGAGCUUCCCAUACGGGUUGAAGCAUGACCGUAAGGACAUGUGGACAGUAUGGGAGUGAG